rnacentral:rRNA from 1 species
AGAGUUUGAUCCUGGCUCAGGAUGAACGCUAGCGGCAGGCUUAACACAUGCAAGUCGAGGGGCAGCAUAAUGGAUAGCAAUAUCUAUGGUGGCGACCGGCGCACGGGUGCGUAACGCGUAUGCAACCUACCUUUAACAGGGGGAUAACACUGAGAAAUUGGUACUAAUACCCCAUAAUAUCAUAGAAGGCAUCUUUUAUGGUUGAAAAUUCCGAUGGUUAGAGAUGGGCAUGCGUUGUAUUAGCUAGUUGGUGGGGUAACGGCUCACCAAGGCGACGAUACAUAGGGGGACUGAGAGGUUAACCCCCCACACUGGUACUGAGACACGGACCAGACUCCUACGGGAGGCAGCAGUGAGGAAUAUUGGUCAAUGGACGCAAGUCUGAACCAGCCAUGCCGCGUGCAGGAUGACGGCUCUAUGAGUUGUAAACUGCUUUUGUACGAGGGUAAACGCAGAUACGUGUAUCUGUCUGAAAGUAUCGUACGAAUAAGGAUCGGCUAACUCCGUGCCAGCAGCCGCGGUAAUACGUAGGGGGCAAGCGUUAUCCGGAUUUACUGGGUGUAAAGGGAGCGUAGACGGUGUGGCAAGUCUGAUGUGAAAGGCAUGGGCUCAACCUGUGGACUGCAUUGGAAACUGUCAUACUUGAGUGCCGGAGGGGUAAGCGGAAUUCCUAGUGUAGCGGUGAAAUGCGUAGAUAUUAGGAGGAACACCAGUGGCGAAGGCGGCCACCUGGACGGUAACUGACGCUGAGGUGCGAAAGCGUGGGUAGCAAACAGGAUUAGAUACCCUGGUAGUCCACGCUGUAAACGAUGGGUGCUGGGUGCUGGGAUGUAUGUCUCGGUGCCGUAGCUAACGCGAUAAGCACCCCGCCUGGGGAGUACGGUCGCAAGGCUGAAACUCAAAGAAAUUGACGGGGGCCCGCACAAGCGGUGGAGUAUGUGGUUUAAUUCGAAGCAACGCGAAGAACCUUACCAGGUCUUGACAUCCUGCUAACGAAGUAGAGAUACAUUAGGUGCCCUUCGGGGAAAGCAGAGACAGGUGGUGCAUGGUUGUCGUCAGCUCGUGUCGUGAGAUGUUGGGUUAAGUCCCGCAACGAGCGCAACCCCUAUUGUUAGUUGCUACGCAAGAGCACUCUAGCGAGACUGCCGUUGACAAAACGGAGGAAGGUGGGGACGACGUCAAAUCAUCAUGCCCCUUAUGACCUGGGCUACACACGUAAUACAAUGGCGGUCAACAAAGGGAAGCAAAGCUGUGAAGCCGAGCAAAUCUCAAAAAUAACGUCUCAGUUCGGACUGUAGUCUGCAACCCGACUACACGAAGCUGGAAUCGCUAGUAAUCGCAGAUCAGAAUGCUGCGGUGAAUACGUUCCCAGGGUCUUGCACACACCGCCCGUCAAG